GGCUACGGCCAUGCCACCCUGAACACGCCUGAUCUCGUUAGAUCUCGCAAGCUAAGCAGGGUCGGGCCUGGUUAGUACUUGGAUGGGAGACAACCUAGGAAUACCAGGUGCUGUAGGCG
rnacentral:rRNA from 1 species